UCUGCGGUUCUUUUCAAAGAAAGCGAAAAUUUCUAGUCCUUUCGGAGUUAACAGGGAACUCGUCGACGGUAUUCUGGUCUGAAAGAUUGCCCCGAUAUUGUUCUCUGGCCGGGACUACAGAAUCGCGACAAGUUCUUAUCGAACCUGCGACGGCAUCCGCAUGUAGGUGCCCCUGCACCAGUUUCUUUCAUACAUCACAACAGCAUCUUGAUCAUCGGCGUGCAGAAAGAUGGCAAAUCUACAAAUUUUAAAAUCUUUUGUUAGCACCGAGGCCGGAAUAGUCCUGAGGAUUGUUCGCUGUAUUUGUAGAAAAUUAUAAGGUUACAGGAGACUAUAUUUGUCAACUACAAGAUCGAGAAUCGACGCCAGCCGGCAAAGACCUGGCGGACAAGACUCGCGUAAUGGACGGCAAGCGCAAGCAGGGACUGACUAAGGUGCAGAGUGCGUACGA